rnacentral:rRNA from 1 species
GACGUAGGUUGCGAGCGUUAUUCGGAUUCACUAGGCGUAAAGCGUGUGUAGGUGGAUGCCUAAGUCUGACGUGAAAUCUCCUGGCUCAACUGGGAGGGGUCGUUAGAUACUGGGCGUCUUGAGUUGGGUAGGGGGGAACCGGAAUUCCAGGUGUAGCGGUGAAAUGCGCAGAUAUCUGGAGGAAUACCGGUGGCGAAGGCGGCAUCCUGGACCGAGAUUGACGCUGAACGGCGAAAAGCUAGGGGAGCAAACGGG